ACGGCUCAGUAACACGUGGACAACCUGCCCAAAGGUCCGGGAUAACCCCGGGAAACUGGGGAUAAUACCGGAUAGGUCACAAAUACUGGAAGGUUUUGUGGCCGAAACUUCCGGGGCCUUUGGAUGGGUCUGCGGCUGAUUAGGUUGUUGCCGGUGUAACGUACCGUCAAGCCUGUAAUCAGUACGGGUUGUGGGAGCAAGAGCCCGGAGAUGGAUUCUGAGACACGAAUCCAGGCCCUACGGGGCGCAGCAGGCGCGAAAACUCUACAAUGCAGGCAACUGCGAUAGGGGAACAUCGAGUGAUACUCAUCUUGGGUGUCUGUCCUCCCGUCUAAAAAACGGGAGUUAGCAAGGGCCGGGCAAGACCGGUGCCAGCCGCCGCGGUAAUACCGGCGGCUCGAGUGGUGACCGAUAUUAUUGAGUCUAAAGGGUCCGUAGCCGGCUUUGCAAGUCUUUUGGGAAAUCCAGCGGCUUAACCGUUGGGCGUCCGGGAGAUACUACAUUGCUUGGGACUGGGAGAGGUAGGAGGUACUCAGGGGGUAGGAGUGAAAUCCUGUAAUCCUUUGGGGACCACCGGUGGCGAAGGCGUCCUACCAGAACAGGUCCGACGGUGAGGGACGAAAGCUAGGGGCACGAACCGGAUUAGAUACCCGGGUAGUCCUAGCCGUAAACGAUGCUCGCUAGGUGUCACAACAAUCGUGAAUUGUUGUGGUGCCGUAGGGAAGCCGUGAAGCGAGCCACUUGGGAAGUACGACCGCAAGGUUGAAACUUAAAGGAAUUGGCGGGGGAGCAC
rnacentral:rRNA from 1 species